UACGUAGGGUGCAAGCGUUAAUCGGAAUUACUGGGCGUAAAGCGUGCGCAGGCGGUUUUGUAAGUCAGAUGUGAAAUCCCCGGGCUUAACCUGGGAACUGCGUUUGAAACUACAAGGCUAGAGUGUGGCAGAGGGGGGUGGAAUUCCACGUGUAGUAGUGAAAUGCGUAGAGAUGUGGGGGAACACCGAUGGCGAAGGCAGCCCCCUGGGUUAACACUGACGCUCAGGCACGAAAGCGUGGGGAGCAAACAGG
rnacentral:rRNA from 1 species